CGUGGCACAGAUAUAAAUAUAUUAUAUAUUGUAUACAGAUAUGUAUAAUAUAUUUAUUUAUAUUGUUCUAUGAUACCUAUUUCUGUAAAUUUGCACACAAAAAUAUGUAUAAAGAUAACAAAUGAGAUUUUUUGGUGGUAUGAAAAUUAUAAAGAAAAGCGUUUAGUUUAUACCUACAAAGGUAUAUUUUUGAAAAUGGUUUAUAAAUGUAUUUUGUGUAGUAAUAAAAGUAAAACCACUGAAAACCCUCAAUCUCGAAUUAGCUUUCAUUCUUUCCCAACAAAUCCCGAUUUAAGGGGAAAAUGGAUUAAGAUAAGUGGAGUUGAAGACAUUUUAAUUAAACCUAUUAAAAUAUGUUCCGUGCAUUUCAAUGAAGAUUCAUAUUUACCAAUGUUUCCAAUAUCUAAAGGUUUAAAACAAACUGCUGUACCAUCAUUGUCUAUGAAUAAUAGGCGAUGAAAUGUUUUGAAUACAACUAUGCCAAAUAAUGCUGUAGUAUUAAAUUCACCGGAUUUUCUAAAUAAUAUACCUACUAAAAUAUCACGUGAUACAAGUCCAAUAAGUAAUUUGUCAACUUCUCCGUUCAAUACAAUAUUUCAACCGACUAUUGGAUCUGAAUCUUUGAGUAAUUGUGUACCGACAAAGAGAAAAAAAUUGUAUUCUCAUCCUCGGCACAUAGGCGAUUAUACUGAAGAACAUGUUAGUACACUUAAAGGACAAACGAAUAAUUUAAUAUACUUAAAAGGAAUAUAUUUAUUACAGACAAAAAAAUAAAAUGUUUACAGCAGCAAUAUAGGAACCUUGAAAAAAAAGUGGUGUCAUUAAAAUUACUACUAAAUAAAAGUAAAAAUAAAAGGUUAAUUUCUGAACAUGGUGCACAGAAAUUAAUUACGAAAUAUUAAUUUUUCAAUUUAGAAUUAUUCUUUUUAGUAGGUACCUAGUCAAAUUAGAAAUAUAUUUGAAAUUAAAAUAAUGGUUGGUUAAUGUCUAGGCUGGGUUAGAAAAAUUAAAAAGUUAGGCUACUUGUUUUUUUAAGUAAUUUCUAAUUUAACAAGUUCAAAGUUGUUCCAUGAUAUGUAGAACUUGAUAUGAAUUUAUAAGGAAAAUUAAAAUUUCACCUAAAUAGACGAAAGUCUCAGGAGGGGAUGAAGGUGUCAUAUUACGCUCAACUUUGUCUUUUUUUUCCUAAUGAUACAUACAAAUUUCCCUUGAACACAAUUAACUUGACUAUAUUAUGUGGAAAAAACAAAAUGGUGUACCCUAUAAACUUGUGUUGUCUUUUUCAAAACUGGUGGCAUUAAAAUUAUGACUUUACAAAAAUUAGUAUUUGGGAACUGUGGAAGAAAUCUUUAGAUGGAGUCAACAAAUAUUUUAUGAUAGGGCAAUGUACAGUGUACAAUUUCUCAAUUCAUAACUAGGUGCUCUAAAAAUACUCUACUUGUGAUUAUCUUAUAAUUUCUGUCUUUACUGCAGACCAAUUAUUUACCUUUUCUACAAAAAACAACCGUAUAUAUAAAGUUGAAAAACCCAGUGAGAGGUAAGUUUGUACACAAUACAAUGUAAAUAGAAUAAAAAUAUAAUGUAGGUAUAUAAUAAUUAUUAUGCCUAUUAUCAUGAUAGAAAUAACUAGUUAGGUUAACCUAACCUAACCUAACCUAACUAGUUAUUUCUAUCAUGCCUAUUAUAAUCCAAAUGGGUAUUUAAAAUUAUUGGGUACAUUAAUAAGUACAAUUUCUUCAAUAAGAAAGUUACAAAUUAAACCUAAAACAGAUAAACACUUAUGUCAAUAAUUG